UAUUGGACCAUAGCUUGUCGCAGCUGCAACAAGAUACUUGGUUAGGCCUUGUUUUCGAAUUCUUUUUUCAUACAGGAAAAAAAAGAAAGAAUUCUUUCAGAAAUGUUUUGGUUGUUUGCGUUGAUAAGUUAUCCAGCUAUCUUUGGUACCAGAAAAAAGGCGAUAUAAAAUUUAAUCAGGACUUGUGAUGUUAUUAAUGAACAAUACUCAACAAACGAUUUAUUUACUCUACUUGCUUUUGGUUAUUAUUGAUGUACUCCUUAUCAUGGUAAGUCAGCCAUCUAACUCUCCGACCCGCCACGAAGGCACACGGAUUUAAACCUUAAAAACUGAAUGACCGGAACACCGCAACAGCAACAUUGGCGAGAACUGUGGUUGAGUCCUAAGGGCCAUCACCGGCCACGGUACAACCCUCCCCGAAGGAAGUACGUCCCUUCAUCGAUGGGAGAAGUUAGAUCCCCCACCUAUUAGUGUACCCUCCAG